GUAUCGGAAGGUGCGGCUGGAUCACCUCCUUUCUAGAGACGCAUCAAGUCGAGCGCUCACACUUAUCGGUUGUCAACGUUGAUGGUGGUUGCGAUACCGAACUUCGUGGCCCAAGCGGGUCUGUAGCUCAGUCGGUUAGAGCACCGUCUUGAUAAGGCGGGGGUCGUUGGUUCGAAUCCAACCAGACCCACCAGAACUGGAGUUUACCCUGGGGGUGUAGCUCAGCUGGGAGAGCACCUGCUUUGCAAGCAGGGGGUCAUCGGUUCGAUCCCGUUCACCUCCACCAGCCUCCAAAAGAAAAUCAAUUUUCUUUUGAUGAAACCAUCGUUGUGUUCUUUAACAAUUCAAAAGCCGAUAUUUGUAUGAUGAAAGUCAUACAUUGCGAUUGCAUCGCAAAUAUGAGUUCAAUCCUAUUUGACCAGUGGUCAAAAUUAUAGGAUCAAGCGACUAAGUGCA
rnacentral:tRNA from 1 species